rnacentral:rRNA from 1 species
GAAAGCGUUGCUAAUACCGGAUAUUGUUCCUUUGGCUGUGGCUAGAGGGAUGAAAGGUGACCAAUUCAUGAAAGUUGCCGUUUAGGGAGGGGCUCGCGUACCAUUAGCUUGUUGGUGGGGUAAUGGCCUACCAAGGCUACGAUGGUUAGCUGGUCUGAGAGGAUGAUCAGCCACACUGGAACUGAAACACGGUCCAGACUCCUACGGGAGGCAGCAGUGAGGAAUUUUGCGCAAUGGGGGAAACCCUGACGCAGCAACGCCGCGUGAGUGAAGAAGGCUUUCGGGUCGUAAAGCUCUGUCAAGUGGGAAAAAGGACUUUCGGUCAAUAGCCGGAAGGAUUGAUGGUACCACUAGAGGAAGCACCGGCUAACUCCGUGCCAGCAGCCGCGGUAAUACGGAGGGUGCGAGUGUUGUUCGGAAUUAUUGGGCGUAAAGAGCGUGUAGGCGGUUUGGUAAGUCAGGUGUGAAAGCCCUGGGCUUAACCCAGGAAGUGCACUUGAAACUACUUCACUUGAGUAUGGGAGAGGAGAGUGGAAUUCCCAGUGUAGAGGUGAAAUUCNUAGAUAUUGGGAGGA